rnacentral:rRNA from 1 species
AUUGAACGCUAGCGGGAUGCUUUACACAUGCCAGUCGAACGGCAGCGCGGACUUCGGUCUGGCGGCGAGUGGCGAACGGGUGAGUAAUGUAUCGGAACGUGCCCAGUAGCGGGGGAUAACUACGCGAAAGCGUAGCUAAUACCGCAUACGCCCUACGGGGGAAAGCAGGGGAUCGUAAGACCUUGCACUAUUUGAGCGGCCGAUAUCGGAUUAGCUAGUUGGUGAGGUAACGGCUCACCAAGGCGACGAUCCGUAGCUGGUUUGGGAGGACGACCAGCCACACUGGGACUGGAGCACGGCCCAGAACCCUUCGGGGAGCAGCAGGGGGGAAUUUUGGACAAUGGGGGGAAACCUGAUCCAGCCAUCCCGCGUGUGGGAUGAAGGCCUUCGGGUUGUAAAGCACUUUUGGCAGGAAAGAAACGUCGCGGGCUAAUACCCCGUGGAACUGACGGUACCUGAAGAAUAAGCACCGGCUAACUACGUUC